rnacentral:rRNA from 1 species
UAAGGAAUAUUGGACAAUGGAGGCAACUCUGAUCCAGCCAUGCCGCGUGAAGGAAUAAGGCCCUAUGGGUUGUAAACUUCUUUUAGACGGGACAAAACCCCUUUACGUGUAAAGGGUUGAUGGUACUGUCAGAAUAAGCAUCGGCUAACUUCGUGCCAGCAGCCGCGGAAUACGAAGGAUGCAAGCGUUAUCCGGAAUUAUUGGGUUUAAAGGGUGCGUAGGCGGACUAAUAAGUCAGUGGUGAAAGCCUGCAGCUUAACUGCAGAAUUGCCAUUGAUACUGUUAGUCUUGAGUACAGUUGAGGUAGGCGGAAUGUGUCAUGUAGCGGUGAAAUGCUUAGAUAUGACACAGAACACCGAUUGCGAAGGCAGCUUGCUAAGCUGUAACUGACGCUGAGGCACGAAAGCGUGGGGAGCAAAC